CCUACGGGGGGCAGCAGUGGGGAAUAUUGGGCAAUGGGCGAAAGCCUGACCCAGCGACGCCGCGUGGGUGAUGAAGGCCUUCGGGUUGUAAAACCCUUUCGUGCGGAAAGAAUAGUCCUGUAGCGAAUAACUACGGGAUUUGACGGUACCGCAGGAAGAAGCACCGGCUAACUCCGUGCCAGCAGCCGCGGUAAUACGGAGGGUGCAAGCGUUGUUCGGAAUUAUUGGGCGUAAAGGGCGCGUAGGUGGUUGUGAUAGUCAGAUGUGAAAUCCUUCGGCUCAACCGAAGAACUGCAUCUGAAACUUCAUAGCUCGAGUACAGGAGAGGGAAACGGAAUUCCCGGUGUAGAGGUGAAAUUCGUAGAUAUCGGGAGGAACACCAGUGGCGAAGGCGGUUUCCUGGUCUGAUACUGACGCUGAGGCGCGAAAGCGUGGGGAGCAAACAGGAUUAGAUACCCGGGUAGUC
rnacentral:rRNA from 1 species